AUUGAACGCUGGCGGCAUGCCUUACACAUGCAAGUCGAACGGCAGCACGGACUUCGGUCUGGUGGCGAGUGGCGAACGGGUGAGUAAUGUAUCGGAACGUACCUUUCAGUGGGGGAUAACGUAGCGAAAGUUACGCUAAUACCGCAUAUUCUGUGCGCAGGAAAGCAGGGGAUCGCAAGACCUUGCGCUGAUUGAGCGGCCGAUAUCAGAUUAGCUAGUUGGUGAGGUAAAGGCUCACCAAGGCGACGAUCUGUAGCGGGUCUGAGAGGAUGAUCCGCCACACUGGAACUGAGACACGGUCCAGACUCCUACGGGAGGCAGCAGUGGGGAAUUUUGGACAAUGGGGGCAAUCCUGAUCCAGCCAUGCCGCGUGAGUGAAGAAGGCCUUCGGGUUGUAAAGCUCUUUCGGCCGGGAAGAAAUCGUAUCAGCUAAUACCUGGUGCGGAUGACGGUACCGGCAUAAGAAGCACCGGCUAACUACGUACCAGCCGCCGCCGUAACAC
rnacentral:rRNA from 1 species